GACGAACGCUGGCGGCGUGCCUAAUACAUGCAAGUUGAGCGCCGAAGGUUGGUACUUGUACCAACUGGAUGAGCAGCGCACGGGUGAGUAACGCGUGGGGAAUCUGCCUUUGAGCGGGGGACAACAUUUGGAAACGAAUGCUAAUACCGCAUAAAAACUUUAAACACAAGUUUUAAGUUUGAAAGAUGCAAUUGCAUCACUCAAAGAUGAUCCCGCGUUGUAUUAGCUAGUUGGUGAGGUAAAGGCUCACCAAGGCGAUGAUACAUAGCCGACCUGAGAGGGUGAUCGGCCACAUUGGGACUGAGACACGGCCCAAACUCCUACGGGAGGCAGCAGUAGGGAAUCGUCGGCAAGGGACGAAAGUCUGACCGAGCAACGCCGCGUGAGUGAAGAAGGUUGUCGGAUCGUAAAACUCUGUUGGUAGAGAAGAACGUUGGUGAGAGUGGAAAGCUCAUCAAGUGACGGUAACUACCCAGAAAGGGACGGCUAACUACGUG
rnacentral:rRNA from 1 species